GACGAACGCUGGCGGCGCGCCUAACACAUGCAAGUCGAACGGAGUUCUUUUGAUGAAGUUUUCGGAUGGAUUCACUUGAACUUAGUGGCGGACGGGUGAGUAACACGUGAGCAACCUGCCUAUCAGAGGGGGAUAACGAUUGGAAACGAUCGCUAAUACCGCAUAACGCAGCGAGGAGGCAUCUUCAUGCUGCCAAAGAAUAUCGCUGAUAGAUGGGCUCGCGUCCGAUUAGAUAGUUGGUGAGGUAACGGCCACCAAGUCGACGAUCGGUAGCCGGACUGAGAGGUCGAACGGCCACAUUGGGACUGAGACACGGCCCAGACUCCUACGGGAGGCAGCAGUGGGGAUAUGCACAAUGGGGAAACCCUGAUGCAGCGAACGCCGCGUGAGGGAAGACGGUCCUCUGGAUUGUAAACCUCUGUCUUCGGGGACGAAACGAGACGGUACCCGAGGAGGAAGCCACGGCUAAACUACGUGACAGCCGCCGCUGUAAC
rnacentral:rRNA from 1 species